GGGUUGUGAGGUUAAGCGACUAAGCGUACACGGUGGAUGCCCUGGCAGUCAGAGGCGAUGAAGGACGUGCUAAUCUGCGAUAAGCGUCGGUAAGGUGAUAUGAACCGUUAUAACCGGCGAUUUCCGAAUGGGGAAACCCAGUGUGAUUCGUCACACUAUCAUUAACUGAAUCCAUAGGUUAAUGAGGCGAACCGGGGGAACUGAAACAUCUAAGUACCCCGAGGAAAAGAAAUCAACCGAGAUUCCCCAGUAGCGGCGAGCGAACGGGGAGCAGCCCAGAGCCUGAAUCAGUGUGUGUGUUAGUGGAAGCGUCUGGAAAGGCGCGCGAUACAGGGUGACAGCCCCGUACACAAAAUGCACAUAUUGUGAGCUCGAUGAGUAGGGCGGGACACGUGGUAUCCUGUCUGAAUAUGGGGGGCCCAUCCUCCAAGGCUAAAUACUCCUGACUGACCGAUAGUGAACCAGUACCGUGAGGGAAAGGCGAAAAGAACCCCGGCGAGGGGAGUGAAAAAGAACCUGAAACCGUGUACGUACAAGCAGUGGGAGCACGCUUAGGCGUGUGACUGCGUACCUUUUGUAUAAUGGGUCAGCGACUUAUAUUCUGUAGCAAGGUUAACCGAAUAGGGGAGCCGAAGGGAAACCGAGUCUUAACUGGGCGUUAAGUUGCAGGGUAUAGACCCGAAACCCGGUGAUCUAGCCAUGGGCAGGUUGAAGGUUGGGUAACACUAACUGGAGGACCGAACCGACUAAUGUUGAAAAAUUAGCGGAUGACUUGUGGCUGGGGGUGAAAGGCCAAUCAAACCGGGAGAUAGCUGGUUCUCCCCGAAAGCUAUUUAGGUAGCGCCUCGUGAAUUCAUCUCCGGGGGUAGAGCACUGUUUCGGCAAGGGGGUCAUCCCGACUUACCAACCCGAUGCAAACUGCGAAUACCGGAGAAUGUUAUCACGGGAGACACACGGCGGGUGCUAACGUCCGUCGUGAAGAGGGAAACAACCCAGACCGCCAGCUAAGGUCCCAAAGUCAUGGUUAAGUGGGAAACGAUGUGGGAAGGCCCAGACAGCCAGGAUGUUGGCUUAGAAGCAGCCAUCAUUUAAAGAAAGCGUAAUAGCUCACUGGUCGAGUCGGCCUGCGCGGAAGAUGUAACGGGGCUAAACCAUGCACCGAAGCUGCGGCAGCGACGCUUAUGCGUUGUUGGGUAGGGGAGCGUUCUGUAAGCCUGCGAAGGUGUGCUGUGAGGCAUGCUGGAGGUAUCAGAAGUGCGAAUGCUGACAUAAGUAACGAUAAAGCGGGUGAAAAGCCCGCUCGCCGGAAGACCAAGGGUUCCUGUCCAACGUUAAUCGGGGCAGGGUGAGUCGACCCCUAAGGCGAGGCCGAAAGGCGUAGUCGAUGGGAAACAGGUUAAUAUUCCUGUACUUGGUGUUACUGCGAAGGGGGACGGAGAAGGCUAUGUUGGCCGGGCGACGGUUGUCCCGGUUUAAGCGUGUAGGCUGGUUUUCCAGGCAAAUCCGGAAAAUCAAGGCUGAGGCGUGAUGACGAGGCACUACGGUGCUGAAGCAACAAAUGCCCUGCUUCCAGGAAAAGCCUCUAAGCAUCAGGUAACAUCAAAUCGUACCCCAAACCGACACAGGUGGUCAGGUAGAGAAUACCAAGGCGCUUGAGAGAACUCGGGUGAAGGAACUAGGCAAAAUGGUGCCGUAACUUCGGGAGAAGGCACGCUGAUAUGUAGGUGAAGUCCCUUGCGGAUGGAGCUGAAAUCAGUCGAAGAUACCAGCUGGCUGCAACUGUUUAUUAAAAACACAGCACUGUGCAAACACGAAAGUGGACGUAUACGGUGUGACGCCUGCCCGGUGCCGGAAGGUUAAUUGAUGGGGUCAGCGCAAGCGAAGCUCUUGAUCGAAGCCCCGGUAAACGGCGGCCGUAACUAUAACGGUCCUAAGGUAGCGAAAUUCCUUGUCGGGUAAGUUCCGACCUGCACGAAUGGCGUAAUGAUGGCCAGGCUGUCUCCACCCGAGACUCAGUGAAAUUGAACUCGCUGUGAAGAUGCAGUGUACCCGCGGCAAGACGGAAAGACCCCGUGAACCUUUACUAUAGCUUGACACUGAACAUUGAGCCUUGAUGUGUAGGAUAGGUGGGAGGCUUUGAAGUGUGGACGCCAGUCUGCAUGGAGCCGGCCUUGAAAUACCACCCUUUAAUGUUUGAUGUUCUAACGUGGACCCGUGAUCCGGGUUGCGGACAGUGUCUGGUGGGUAGUUUGACUGGGGCGGUCUCCUCCUAAAGAGUAACGGAGGAGCACGAAGGUUGGCUAAUCCUGGUCGGACAUCAGGAGGUUAGUGCAAUGGCAUAAGCCAGCUUGACUGCGAGCGUGACGGCGCGAGCAGGUGCGAAAGCAGGUCAUAGUGAUCCGGUGGUUCUGAAUGGAAGGGCCAUCGCUCAACGGAUAAAAGGUACUCCGGGGAUAACAGGCUGAUACCGCCCAAGAGUUCAUAUCGACGGCGGUGUUUGGCACCUCGAUGUCGGCUCAUCACAUCCUGGGGCUGAAGUAGGUCCCAAGGGUAUGGCUGUUCGCCAUUUAAAGUGGUACGCGAGCUGGGUUUAGAACGUCGUGAGACAGUUCGGUCCCUAUCUGCCGUGGGCGCUGGAGAACUGAGGGGGCUGCUCCUAGUACGAGAGGACCGGAGUGGACGCAUCACUGGUGUUCGGGUUGUCAUGCCAAUGGCACUGCCCGGUAGCUAAAUGCGGAAGAGAUAAGUGCUGAAAGCAUCUAAGCACGAAACUUGCCCCGAGAUGAGUUCUCCCUGACCCUUUAAGGGUCCUGAAGGAACGUUGAAGACGACGACGUUGAUAGGCCGGGUGUGUAAGCGCAGCGAUGCGUUGAGCUAACCGGUACUAAUGAACCGUGAGGCUUAACCUUACAACGCCGAAG
rnacentral:rRNA from 1 species